rnacentral:rRNA from 1 species
UACGGAGGGAGCUAGCGUUGUUCGGAAUUACUGGGCGUAAAGCGCGCGUAGGCGGCUUUGUAAGUUAGAGGUGAAAGCCCGGGGCUCAACCCCGGAAUUGCCUUUAAGACUGCAUCGCUAGAAUCCAGGAGAGGUGAGUGGAAUUCCGAGUGUAGAGGUGAAAUUCGUAGAUAUUCGGAAGAACACCAGUGGCGAAGGCGGCUCACUGGACUGGUAUUGACGCUGAGGUGCGAAAGCGUGGGGAGCAAACGGG